rnacentral:rRNA from 1 species
CCUACGGGAGGCAGCAGUGGGGAAUAUUGCACAAUGGGGGAAACCCUGAAGCAGCGAUGCCGCGUGAGCGAUGAUGUCUUUCGGUAUGUAAAGCUCUAUUAGCAGGGAAGAAAAUGACGGUACCUGACUCAGACGCGCCGGCUAACUACGUGACAGCAGCCGCGUUACUACGUAGGGGGCAAGCGUUAUCCGGAUUUACUGGGUGUAAAGGGAGCGUAGACGGCGAUGCAAGCCAGAUGUGAAAGCCCGGGGCUGAACCGCGGGACUGCCUUUGAAACUGUCUAGCUGGAGUGUCGACGAGGCAGGCGGAAUGCCUAGUGUAGCGGUGAAAUGCAUAGAUAUUAGGAAGAACACCAGUUGCGAAGGCAGCUUACGAGACGGCGACUGACGUUGAGGCACGAAAGCGUGGGGAGCAAACAGGAUUAGAUACCCGUGUAGUC